rnacentral:lncRNA from 1 species
AGAAGCCGGAGCUGUUGGUGGUGGUCGCGGCGGUGAAUCGGGCGUCUCCGGGUUUGGUCCGGUAGGAACCCUCCUGAGCACCGAGAAGUCCCUCUGAGGUGGUGGCGGUGAAUCGGGCGUCUCCGGGUUUGGUCCGGUAGGAACCCUCCUGAGCAUCGAGAAGUCCCUCUGAGGUGGUGGCGGUGAGUCGGACGUCUCUCGGUUUGGUCCGGUCGGAACCUUCCUGAGCACCGAGAAGUCCCUCUGAGGUGGUGGCGGUGAGUCGGACGUGAUGGGGUCUGGCCCACCGGGGACCUUCCGAAGAACCGAGAAGUGUGCGCUGGUGGCCGACGGUGGUGGUGGUGAG